CUGCUCAUUUCAGCAGUACAUAUACUAAAAUUGAGACAAUUCAGAGAAGAUUAGCAUGGUCCCUGUGUAAAGAUGACAUGCUUGGGAGCCAAAGUGGCUCAGUUGGU